AGGUAAAACUCGAGAAGCCAAGGUAAAACAGGGGAGUGCGAGUGCCAUUCCUGUGAGACCACAUUGCUUCCUCUAUCGUCUUCUUCCUUCUUCAAUGGUGUUAGGGUUUUCAGUGGCAAAGGGUAGCAGCUCGUAAUAAUGAAUUUUUGAAAUUCGUGUUCAACUUUAUCCAACGAUUACUUGAAGGAGAUCGCAAUUUCUCAAUAGUCAACUUCCGGUAGCUCGCGAAAUCGAAAGAUAUCGUCAUUUUCGCGCGACAGGAAAAACAUUGGGAACUAAAUAAAAUGUCUAUGGCUGAAGAACCACUAUAUCCAAUAGCGGUGCUUAUAGAUGAGUUGAAAAAUGAUGACAUCCAGUUGCGGUUGAACUCGAUUCGCAGGCUAUCGACAAUUGCACGUGCUCUUGGGGAGGAGCGAACCCGAAGAGAAUUAAUUCCAUUUUUGAGUGAAAAUAAUGAUGAUGAUGACGAGGUACUUCUUGCGAUGGCAGAAGAGUUGGGAGUGUUCAUUCCGUAUGUUGGGGGAGUGGAACAUGCAAGUGUGUUGUUGCCACCUUUAGAGACACUUUGCACCGUUGAGGAAACCUGUGUGAGAGAUAAAGCUGUGGAGUCACUUUGUAGAAUUGGAUCUCAAAUGAGGGAGAGUGAUUUGGUUGAAUAUUUCAUCCCAUUGGUGAAGAGAUUGGCAGCAGGUGAAUGGUUUACUGCUCGUGUCUCUGCAUGUGGACUAUUUCAUAUUGCAUACCCAAGUGCACCAGAAACAUCAAAGACAGAGUUAAGAUCAAUAUACAGUCAGUUAUGUCAGGAUGACAUGCCUAUGGUCAGACGGUCUGCGGCAUCAAAUCUUGGGAAAUUUGCUGCUACUGUUGAAUAUGCUCAUUUAAAGGCUGAUGUCAUGUCAAUUUUUGAUGAUCUUACUCAAGAUGAUCAAGAUUCUGUCAGAUUGUUAGCUGUUGAGGGCUGUGCUGCUCUUGGUAAGCUGUUGGAGCCACAAGAUUGUGUUGCACAUAUACUCCCAGUUAUUGUUAACUUCUCCCAGGAUAAGUCUUGGCGUGUGCGUUACAUGGUUGCAAAUCAAUUGUAUGAGCUCUGUGAAGCUGUAGGCCCUGAACCUACCAGAACGGAAUUGGUCCCUGCCUAUGUGCGGUUGCUUCGAGAUAAUGAGGCUGAAGUACGCAUAGCAGCUGCUGGAAAAGUGACCAAGUUUUGCCGGAUUUUAAAUCCAGAUCUCGCAAUUCAGCAUAUUCUUCCUUGUGUGAAGGAAUUGUCAUCAGAUUCUUCACAGCAUGUCCGCUCUGCUUUGGCUUCUGUAAUAAUGGGAAUGGCUCCAGUGCUAGGAAAGGAAGCAACAAUUGAGCAGCUUCUUCCUAUUUUCCUUUCCCUUUUGAAGGAUGAAUUUCCUGAUGUGCGCCUAAACAUCAUCAGCAAGCUUGAUCAAGUGAAUCAGGUUAUUGGAAUCGAUCUGUUAUCUCAAUCUUUGUUACCAGCCAUUGUUGAGCUUGCUGAGGAUAGACAUUGGAGGGUUCGACUUGCAAUUAUAGAGUAUAUACCCUUAUUGGCAAGUCAAUUGGGGGUUGGGUUUUUCGACGACAAGCUUGGUUCUCUCUGCAUGCAGUGGUUACAGGAUAAGGUUCAUUCAAUUCGUGAAGCAGCUGCUAACAACUUGAAACGCCUUGCUGAAGAAUUUGGUCCUGAGUGGGCUAUGCAGCACAUAAUUCCACAGGUUUAUCUAUUGGCUUAAUUUAUUAUUAACUACGUGAUAUGAUUAAUACACAAUGCCUCUAUUAAUUCAUCCGUGUUUGUGCAUGUCUUCAUCUUCUGACAAAAAUCCACAUCUAUAUUCCUCCCUUUCUUAAUUUGAUUUCAAUACAUUUCUUUUAUAUUAUGAUGAAAUUUUAGAAAUACUGCAAGAAUAUCAUAUAGAUGCAAUGUACCUGCAUGUCUUCAAUCGGAAUGCUGAAAGAAAGAAAUUGCUCAUGAGCCACCAUGAGAAGUGGAGUUGGGGACAGGGUGAAAAUCCCUGCUUGCUCAAAAGCCUGCAUUCAUAUUGGUUUCUUUCAGUUUAAGCUCAGCAGUCCUAUUCCAAAAUACUAAAAUAAUGGAAUUAUCUAUUGUCUGCGUCCUUAAUUAAAGAUGAAGUCAUGUGCAAAAGGAAAAAAGAUCAUCAGUCAUGAACAUUACAAAAUCACCUUUGCAGUGUAGCUAAGAUUAGCCACUACAUGUUUUAUCUUCAAUUAUAUGGUUAUUGCCUCUGUUAAGCUCACUUUGGAUUUUCACUGUAACAUUAUCUGAUGUGGGGUCCGAAGAUGGGUUUCAUUGAAAUAUUUUCUUUCUCUGCUAUUACCUUUUAUGUUCUAAGUGAAACUUCAGAGGUAUCAGUGUGGAAUGUGUGGAACAGGUUUUGGAGAUGAUUAACAAUCCACACUAUUUGUAUCGGAUGACCAUUCUUCGUGCUAUCUCUUUGCUUGCUCCUGUAAUGGGCUCUGAAAUCACUUGUUCAAACUUGUUACCGGUUGUCGUUACUGCAUCAAAAGACAGAGUGCCCAACAUAAAGUUCAAUGUGGCAAAGGUAUUAGAGUCCAUCUUCCCCAUCGUUGAUCAGUCUGUUGUGGAAAAGACUGUCCGUCCAUGUCUGGUUGAGCUUAGCGAGGAUCCUGAUGUUGAUGUGCGAUUUUUUUCCAACCAAGCACUACAGGCAAUUGAUCAUGUCAUGAUGUCUAGCUAGGCAGGAAUUAUUCAACGCACAUUUAGGUUGAAGACGUCAAAAGAGAUGCUAAUAUUUCCAGCUAUCAUAAAUAAUACUGCAUAUUUGAUUUCAAUGCACGGGACUGGCGCGCUUUGAAAGAUUUAUGGAAUACGGAUUAUUUUAGUUUCAUCGUAGUCAUACUAUUUUAACUGUUUAAUCGACGUGUAUAUAACAAGAUAGCCAUGUAAAAUAAUAAUAAAUAAAUAAAAUAUAAUU